GCCAAUAAUCUACCCAUUCUAAUAAAUGCCUUAUAGAAUUAGUGGUAAUAAAGUAAGAAGGAUAACUGCGAAUCUCAUGAGGGGCCUAAUCAUAUCCUUGCACUGCAGGAGGUGGAACAAGCGAAGACCAUACCUGAUAAUUGUCCACGUUAAACUUAAUAUCUUCGUAAACAAUUUCUUGCUGACCGGGAGAACCAGCGGAGACCGAUGCAGAAGAGGUAGACGACGAAACCCGACCUUCAGCAUAUCCCCGACCCUCGUCACUAGGCUCAUCGAUCGACCAAGUGGAAGAAGACAUCACUUGAAGAUAAAAGAUGAUCGAAGGAGGAGAUUCGGAGAGGGAAAACAACGUGAUUGAGGAGGAC
rnacentral:lncRNA from 1 species